GACGAACGCUGGCGGCGUGCUUAACACAUGCAAGUCGAACGGAAAGGCCCUGCUUUUGUGGGGUGCUCGAGUGGCGAGCGGGUGAGUAACACGUGAGUAACCUGCCCUUGACUUUGGGAUAACUUCAGGAAACUGGGGCUAAUACCGGAUAGGAGCUCCUGCUGCAUGGUGGGGGUUGGAAAGUUUCGGCGGUUGGGGAUGGACUCGCGGCUUAUCAGCUUGUUGGUGGGGUAGUGGCUUACCAAGGCUUUGACGGGUAGCCGGCCUGAGAGGGUGACCGGCCACAUUGGGACUGAGAUACGGCCCAGACUCCUACGGGAGGCAGCAGUGGGGAAUAUUGCACAAUGGGCGGAAGCCUGAUGCAGCAACGCCGCGUGCAGGAUGACGGCCUUCGGGUUGUAAACCGCUUUCGCCUGUGACGAAGCGUGAGUGACGGUAAUGGGUAAAGAAGCACCGGCUAACUACGUG
rnacentral:rRNA from 1 species